CUUUGAACAUAGCCGUGAAGUGUUUUAUGAUCGAAAUGUCAAAUUAAAUAUAGGUUAACUCGGUCAGUGCAUCGUGGACGCAUAAUUGAGUAUUUUAUCGUGUAUGUUUGAAAUGCAAGAUAUUUCCUUUAUUGAAGCGUUAUUUAUUAAUUGCUUUUAUAUUUAGUGCGAAAUCAGUUGUAGAAAUUAGUUAAACAGUCAGCUGGAAAAGUAUUUAAUAUGAAACCGGCAAACAAGUAUAUAGGCCGCCUUCAAUGCAAAGUCUGUUCAUGUAUUGUGAUAAUUGAUUUGUCAUGUAAUAAUUGAAAUUUCUAACACACCAGUCAGAAACAUAACCUCAAUUCAGUGAUAUAUGAAUAAAGAGAAAGAAAAUUAUAGUGCUGAUAACCCCUACGAAAAUGGAUUUCAAGCUAGGGAAAUUUUCUCCAAUAGAGAAGAUAAAUACAAAGUUAGAUAAUAUAUUAGAAAUUAUUAAUCCUUUGUCACCAAAAAAAAAAACAAGCAAGGCUUAAAAACAUGCAAGAAGAAAAAUAAGAACACAUAUCGAUAAAUAAGAACACAUAUUAAGAUUAAGUGUUGAAAAGAAAAUGAAUUGUGGAGUAUUUCUUAAGUGAUGAUAUUGUAUUACAGAAUAGGAAAUUCACAUAUUCAAUACGAAACCAGG